GUCCCUGUCUCACUGCUGCUGGUCUUCACAGAUUGCUGGUUCUCACUUUCCACCGAAGACGAUGCCACUGAAAUGGGUUUUGCAUUGGCAUCCCAAUGCAGGAACAACUGCGAAAACCCAAAUCGUCAACGAGGUGUCGCAGUGCGUAGAGAGCAUCAGCGGAGUUAAAGAAGGGAGGUGGAAAGCUACUCUAACCUCCUAUAAACCCAUGGUUCGAGAACAGUCGCGAACUGCGGAGUUUCCACGCGAUUUCUUGGGGAUUUCUCUACUGGAGCAGCCAAACAAGUACUAUUUCAUGAUCUGGGGUCAAAGGCUCGUUGUCGAGGCGGAUUCAAUAAUUAGACCGUAAUGGAGAAACUUCAGUCUUGCGAAUCGAGGGGUUUGAGUAUCAACUUGGAGACUUUCAGUUGAGAGUGGGAAAGGUUGUUCCAAGUCAUUCUGGAAACUUGAGAGGAAUCGUUAUGGAGGUUAUGAACUUUCAUUUUAUCUAAUGCUCUGCUUUCUUUGGAUAGUCUGAUGUAUUUAUUUAUUAAUGCAUGUUUUGGGCUUUGAUUUCUUAUGACUGCUAAUGCAGACUCAGAUUUCAAGUUUUUGACUUUUUGGAAUCAUUUAUGUUGUAGAGAUGUUGGCUUCUUUCAUAGCAUAUUUGCCCUGAUCUGGUGGAUAUAUAGGAAUCGGAUUCACAAUGCUCAUUAAGCACUUUGUUUUUGUCAAAAGGUUAAAGCUUUUGUAGCUGAGAUACAAUCUAUUGGUAUAAUCCCUGUUACUGAAUUGUUCUUAGUUUUCUGAGGGUGUAGGACUGAGGACUGAGUACAAUAUAUUCAACUUUGUGAUACUUUGACAUUAUUAAUAUUAUGACAUCACACCAAGCAUACUUUCUCAUGCCUAUAAUAAUGCUUUUACUGUAAUAAUGCUUUUACUGUCUUUCUCCAUUGCUUGUUGAAACUUGCUUGUUAAAACCACAAGCCAUUCUAAUUGACUUGUUGCUUUGAAGGUUGAGUAUCUUUCCAUAUCUUCAAUGGAUAAAGCCAGACAAAUCAUGGAAGAAUUUGUUGAUAUAUGGCAAGAGGCCAUCUCAAAAAGAUCAUUACGGGGUCAUUUUUUGCAUAUAGAACCUAACUUUGCUAAGUAUGGCUCUUGGAUCACUAUACUCCACAACACACGGCUGUGUAGCGUGCUACAGGCUACUGUUGUGGCUUAAAUGAUUGCAGCACAGACAGUGCCGGCUGCUAGAAAUUAAGCAUGGAAUUACUUUUACCAUAGGCUUAUUGUACAACUGACCCUUUUUUGUAAGCUAAAAGAUGAAUGAUCAUGAUUUGAUAUUAUGUUUUGUUGUAUUCUAUGCUGCCACUUUCUUGAUUUGGCCAUUAUAUUUUUUUUUCAUGCCAGUGAAAAUAUGCAAUAAUAAGAAAAUGGAUCUAGGUAUCCUUUUAUAGUAUGAAAGAUAAUAUUGGGUAGCCUGAUCGUUAGGUGCUUUUUAUUGAAUUCUUACACUAUAUGAUAAUCUUCAACACAGUUCACAUUUACAUAUACUGCUGGCAUUGAAGGUUUU
rnacentral:misc_RNA from 1 species